GAACCCUAAUCAAGUCCCGAUCGAGGUGAGGGGAACGACAGCGCAUCGAUCUGGAAUCAGAGUGUGGCGGCCGGUUCCAUCCAUCGAAGACCGCCGGGUGCGUCCGUCCACCUGAGUUCAGGGAUGGGAUCGAGUCCAUCCGGUCGAUCCCAGCGACCGGAGGAGCGGGAUCCAGGUGAAGACGAGUCCAUCCGCGACCCGAUCCAGGUCGAGCCGAUCCAAUCCAGCGCGUGGCAGAGAGGGAGAGACGUCUCCUGUACUGGUAACUUCUCUCCUCUCCUUCAAGCUCGCAAUGAUGGCAUUGUUCUGCUGGAAACUGCUCGAUCCUCUCCUUCAAGCUCACAAUCAUGGCAUUGUUCUACUGGAAACUGCUCUGUCCCCUUCAAGCUCGCGAUUAUGGCCUAUUAUCAUUCAUUCAUUCAUUCAUUCAUUUGCUUAAUGCCUGGUAAAGUCGCAAACCUUGCAGGUACUAUAUAAUGCUUCCCUCCCUGGCUGUCUAUGCACAUCUUACUCCAGCAGCAACAUCUUCUUCGGCGACAUGCUCAGGUGAUGGUUCAUGCUACGUGUUGACAAUUGAUUUGGGCAGAUUCUGCAGGUUCCUAUUGUCCAUUGUUGUGCUCAGUCGUUCAUCAUCUGAAAUGGCUUUUGGACAGAACUGGACAUAUAGGUGUUUCAUGCUUGCUGUGGUUGAUUGAUUUGGGCAGUUCAUGGAGACUGUACUCACAAUUUUUCUACUUCGGCAGCUCACGAUCAUCUAUGGCUUCUGCACAGAUGUCGGAAUAGUUUCAGUGAUUUCAGAUCUCUUUUAAGGUUUGACUGCCUGCUCGAGCCCAGGAUUCUGACAAAAGUAACCUCCAGAUAACAGAUACCGAGUGAACACUAGCUAGCACCAACAGAAUUGAGAUUAUGUUGAUCUCUCGUGCACAUGGUCACGUACUUAGUACACCAGUAUAGUCCUUUCUCAAAUUAUAAAGUACUUCAUUUGUUCACUGCACCAACAUAUCUCAAAAAUUUAUGGGCAAAAAACGCCACUGCCAGCCAGCCAACGGACACCGGAAGAUCCAAAUUGCACUUGUCAAUAAUGCUUCCAGUAGCACAAACAAGAAAAAGGCAAAAGGUUCUGCAACUGACACAAUCAAGACCUCUUCUUCGAAAAAGAAACUUCAUCUCCCUGAGCAAAGAUUGGCUCAUCUACUUUGGGAGCUAUUAAAUAAAUGGAGAUGUUAUGAUUGUGACCACCCUUUUUGGACGUUUUACUUAUGUCGUCUGCCUGCGACAACUAUCACCGAGGUUACGUGAUAAGACUUUGUGUUUGCCAAUUCCGGCUUAUCUGUGUUGUGUUUUCAGAGAACCAUUGCUCCUGUCUGAACUGAAUUAUCCAAGACUUGCAUCUCUACAAUCACCCUUAUUUAUCCUCUAAAGUGAUGUUUCUGUUCUUUGCUACAUUAUGAUCCCGUGUCUCACUGUGGUGAAUCUGGAUAGUUGCCCUAUUAUCAGCCUUUUUCUGUUUUUUACGGGUGAGCAGCUGCUACAUCUUUCAUAAUAAAGGUCUCUCGUAUUAUACUUU